GACGCACGCUGGCGGCGUGCUUAACACAUGCAAGUCGAACGAAGUGGCGAACGGGUGAGUAACGCGUAAUCAACCUGCCCUUCAGAGGGGGACAACAGUUGGAAACGACUGCUAAUACCGCAUACUUCAGUAGGGGAUUGCGUCUGAUUAGCUAGUGGGAUGGGUAACGGCCCACCAAGGCGAUGAUCAGUAGACGGUAUGAGAGGAUGAACGGCCACAGUGGGACUGAGACACGGCACAGACGUCGACGGGAGGAAGCAGUGGGGAAGAUUCCGCAAUGGAAGAAAGUCUGACGGAGAAACGCCGCGGGAGUGAUGACGGCGUUCGGGUUGUAAAGCUCUGUUAAUCGGGACGAGGUACCGGAAUAGAAAGCAACGGCUAACUACGUGCCAGCAGCCGCGGUAAUAC
rnacentral:rRNA from 1 species